rnacentral:rRNA from 1 species
GCCCAGGUCCUACUGGACGCAGCAGGCGCGAAAACUCCGCAAUGCGCGAAAGCGCGACGGGGUCACCCCGAGUGCCGCCCGCUGAGGGCGGCUUUUCCCUAGUCUAACCCGCUAGGGGAAUAAGGGGAGGGCAAGCCUGGUGUCAGCCGCCGCGGUAAUACCAGCUCCUCGAGUGGUUGGGACGAUUAUUGGGUCUAAAGCGUCCGUAGCCGGCCGGAAAAGUUCUCCGUUAAAUCCAACGAUCCAAUCGUUGGGCUGCGGGGAAUACUCUUCGGCUUGGGGGCGAGGGAAGUCGGCGGUAGUCUCGGGGUAGGGGCGAAAUCCUAUAAUCCCGAGAGGACCACCAGUGGCGAAGGCGGCCGACUAAAGCGCGCCCGACGGUGAGGGACGAAAGCUGGGGGAGCGAACGGGAUUAGAUACCCCGGUAGUCCCAGCUGUAAACGAUGCAGGCUAGGUGUUGGGACGGCCACGAGCUGUCCCAGUGCCGCAGGGAAGCCAUUAAGCCUGCCACCUGGGGAGUACGGUCGCAAGGCUGAAUUCUCUUWG